CGGGAGAUGGGGAAAGGGGAGGACGGACGCUAUUAAGGAUUGGGGUGAUGGGGAAGGGAAGGCGAGCGAUAGAAAUGAUAGAAAGAGGCAAGAAUUGCGUAAAGCGGGGAUAGUCACCACCAGGAUCCGGCAGCAGUCCCGUUGCACGAUGUUCCGACGGUCCAAGGCCGAAGGGCAGGAGCAGCGAGGCCGGUCUUGGGCAACGAGAGGGUGCAGGUCGGGGAGGAAGCAGCAGGUCUCAGGUAGCAGGCCCAGGGAAGUCCGUCGGCAAACGGUCCGUAGAGAAGGAUCGGAAGGCAGGAAGCUCGUGUCGUGGUGAGAGAUCAGUCUCCACGUAGAGAUCCAUCUACACGUUGCGAUCAGCCUCCACGUUGUGGUGAAGGAUCAGAUGGCAGAGAACCCCUCAAGUCUGUCGUGGUGAGAAGAUAAGCCUCUACCAUCGCCGUGGUUGUUGGACCCUCUUUUAUCCUCCAUUUUCUGCUGCCUACAUGACAUUCCUGGGUGCUUGAGCAAGAGUCCUGUGCAUACCUCCUGAGAUGGCCAUUUUCCUUGAGACAAGUCCCCACAAAAAGACCGUUUCCCGGCCAUUAGCAGCAGCUUAUCUCUCUCUCGUUGCCCCUGGCCUUGUCCAUCUGUGCUCCUUAGAGGAUAUCACAAUCCUUAGCCAGGACCUGUCCAUCAGUGUCCUCAAGACAAAAGAUUUCUCUGCCUUUGCCCAGGACUUGCCUGGAC
rnacentral:lncRNA from 1 species